CAACUAUGAGAAAGUGGGUUGGACUAGACAAUCUCAGGAGAUGACUUCGUUCCUCAACUACGGAAAUGUAGUGAAAAUUUAUAUCAUGGAAAGAUUACCAUCUCAAGAAAUAGAAAGCCAGAUGAAUUCCUUAGCUCCUGGGACCUUCUGCAGAUUUACAAAUAUAUUGACAAGGAUGCUUGGUGCUCCAUCACUGCUUUCUGUCUUGGCAUCCAGUUUGCC
rnacentral:lncRNA from 1 species